GUUCUAACCUAGGUCCAUUAUCUGGAUCGGGGACAGUGCAUGGUAGGCAGUUUGACUGGGGCGGUCUCCUCCCAAAGCGUAACGGAGGAGUUCGAAGGUACGCUAGUUACGGUCGGACAUCGUGACGAUAGUGCAAUGGCAUAAGCGUGCUUAACUGCGAGACUGACAAGUCGAGCAGAUGCGAAAGCAGGACAUAGUGAUCCGGUGGUUCUGUAUGGAAGGGCCAUCGCUCAACGGAUAAAAGGUACUCUGGGGAUAACAGGCUGAUAC
rnacentral:rRNA from 1 species